AGGUUCUGAGAGGCGGGCUAGUGGCUUGUACUAUAGCAUAGCCUGCCUUUGCUGGUGUGUGGCAAUUAGGCCUGGUGGAACUGCCAUCAAUAAAUCAAGCGUGAUCAGGGUGAGGAACAGGAAAGAAGGAAAUAUGGGGAAACGGGGUGAAUAUCAGGUGGAUCAGAGAGAUACAGUCAUGGGGGUCAUGUGUGGUAUCAGGAAUAAUGUGAGAGGCCAGAUUGAAGUCCACGCCAGGAACAAUGGUAAUUGUGGGAGACUCAACAAAGAGUGAGUAUAGCUGAAGGAGCCGGGAAGCAGAAAGUAUAUGCGUCAGGUAUGAGGAAGAAAAUAGAUUUUGGAAGUUAUGAGAACUGUAGAGAGUGAGUUGAGCAUAGUUUGUGAUUUUGAGGGCCUCUAAAAGUAUUAAAGCAGCGGCAGCCGCUGCACGCAGACACGAGGGGUAGGCUAAAACAGUAAGGUCAAGUUGUUUGCACAGAAAGGCUACAGGGUGCGGUCCUGGCUCUUGUGUAAGAAUUCUGACUGCACUAACUAUGCCUAGGAAGGAAAGGAGUUGUUGUUUUGUAAGAGAUUGAGGUUUGGGAGAUUAAUAGGACACGAUCAGCAGGGAAAGCACGUAUGUUUUUAUGAGAAUUAUGCCGAGAUAGGUAACAGAUGAGGAUGAAAUUUGGGCUUGACUGAAGUAAUGGGGGCUGUCUAUGAAGCCUUGUGGCAGUACAGCCUAGGUAAUUUGCUGAGCCUAAUAGGUGUCAGGGUCAGUCCAAGUGAAAGAAAAGAGAGGCUGGGACGAGGGGUGCAGGGGAAUAGUGAAAAAAGCAUCUUUAAGAUCAAGCACGGAAUAGUGAGUGGUGGAGGAAGGUAUUGAGGAUAGGAGAGUAUAUGGGUUGGGCACCACAGGGGGGAUAGGCAAAACAAUUUGGUUGAUAAGGCACAGAUCCUGAACUAACUUGUAAGGCUUGUCUGGUUUUAGGACAGGUAAAAUGGGGGAAUUGUAAGGAGAGUUUAUAGGCUUUAAAAGGCCAUGCUGUAGCAGGCGAGUGAUAACAGGUUUAAUCUUUUUAAAGCGUGCUGUGGGAUGGGAUAUUGGCAUUGAGUGGGGUAAGGGUGAUUAGGUUUUAAUGAGAUGGUAAGGGGUGCAUGAUUGGUAGCCAAGGAGGGAGUAGAGGUAUCUUAUACUUGUGGGUUAAGGUGGGGGGAUACAAGAGGAGGACGCAAAGGAGGCUUUGAAUUGGGAAGAAGGGUGGCAAUGAGAUACAGCUGUAGUCCAGGAAUAGUCAGGGAAGCAGAUAAUUUAGUUAAAGUGUCUCAGCCUAAUAAGGGAACUGGGCAGGUGGGGAUAAUGAAAAAGGAGUGCUUAAAAGAGUAUUGUCUAAGUUGGCACCAGAGUUGGGGAGUUUUAGGAGGUUUAGAAGCCUGGCCGUCAAUACCCACAACAGUUAUGGAGGCAAGGGAAACAGGUCCUUGAAAAGAAGAUAAUGUGGAGUGGGUAGCCUCCGUAUUGAUUAAGAAGGGGACGGGCUUACCUUCCACCGUGAGAGUUACCUGAAGCUCGGCGUCCGUGAUGGUCUAGGGGGCUUCCAAGGUGAUUGGGCAGUGUCAUCUUCAGCCGCUAAGCCGAGAAGAUCUGGGAAGGAGUCAGUCAGCCUUGGGCCAGAGUUCCAGGGGUUCUGGGAGUGGCUGUCAGGUAGAAGAGAGAAAGGGAAAACACAAAGACCAAGCUGGGAGACCAAACACUGUCAAGGUGGCAUUUUGCCAACAUGCCACAAAAGCAAGCACAGAGAGACGCCAGAGAGUGAGCAGUUGGCUGGAGUGGAGAAAACACCAGGAAAUGGAAGGAAAAUGGUGAGAAAUGAGGCAGAAGCCAAGUGGAUGGAGAAAUAUCAAGAUGACAUGCACAUUCUAACGACAAGCCUGCAGCCAUAAGUAUGGAUGGGUCAGAAGUAUUUUUUUCUCACCCCAUCCCUCACUGUGUUGUCUUUUGUUUAUAUCGAACAUUUUCUACCUCAAUCACUAUAUACAUCAGCAUGCUAGGACACAAUACUGUGUGGUUCAGGUAAAACAGGCAAAUUUUCAAAACUCAUGUUUGAGAUAUUCCUAGUAACCACCCAGAAGUCAUAAUUUUUGCACAAUGUGUGAGUUAGGGAGUUGUUGACUUUGCCUUCUUGUUUUUCAGAUUUGGUUAAUAGUGAAUGGUGUGUUGCUACCGAUCUUGGCAAUGCUCAUGUGGUUUGGAAGGUUUUCCCCUGGACCCACUGGCAGUAGGACAUAAACAAGCCAUGUCCCAGUAGGGCGAUGUGCAGGCUUGGUUCCAGCUUGGCACCUUUCCUCUGCUAUCUUCAUAAGCACUCCCUGGAAAUACCACCUCCAAUCUCAUGAUGAACUGCACGGUGGAAAAACACUUAUUUGAGUAAAACCAAAAGCUUCCUAGUCAUCAUUCUUAGACAGUUCAGUCCAGUCCAAUGGACUGCGCAUUUUGUGGGGCAACCAAGGAGUUACAAUGAUUCCCAAAUGCUACGUGGACUGAUCAGUAAUAUCAGAGGCAAAUACUUGGCAGGUGAAGUGGCUGGAACUCUUGGAGUUUUGGCCAACACAAUGUGGAUGUUUUUGAAUUGUUGUACUUUUUGUCAGCUCACAGCUUCAGUGGUUUACCACUGUCCCCUUCAUUCUGUCUUAUAUCAAAUACUCCCAACCCUUCUGUUUCUCACCUGGUUUGAACUGGCUAGGCCUCACAAUUGUAGAUUCUCAUGGAAGCCUGAAGUCUUCCUCAGUUACUGUAUUACAAAUUCAUUUUGAAUACUUGUCUGUUUAUGUAAGUGUCUCUUCUCCAAUAUCAAGAAAUAACCAUAAAGGUAGUAACCACAUUUCUCUAGUUGUCUGUUGCCUUCCCAGGAUCUAGCAGAGGCUGCAUGCACACUUGUUGAAAGAAUUGUUAGUUAGCUGGUAGGCACUGCAAUGUCCCUGAAAGGAUGCAGGAGGGAUCUGUUACUUCACCAAGAUUAACAUGUAAAUUAGAAAACAAAUCAUUUUAGUGUCUUCACUCCUGUGUGUGUUGUGGGGGGGGGGGAGGGGGCGGGGGCCUGUUUCUGGUCCAGCCCUCAACUUUGAAAGCCUGAAAUUUAAAUCUUUUAUGUCUGUUCAAGUCUUGGUUUUCUCUUCCAGAAUGCAGUGUACCAAGUGGCCUCCUUCAUUGCCUGCAUUUUGAAUGCAGUCAGGCUGCACAGUGGAAUGGAAAUCCCUGGCCAAGAUAUACCUCUUAAAAGAAAAUAAUCUCUUCCUCUGUGUGUAUGCCUGCGUCUACAUAUGUAUUGUGGGGACCAGAAUAUACCACCCCAAAAUAUAAAUGACUGUUGAACUGAAGGCAAUUAAGAAGAAGUAGGUACAGGAAAGAGCUCUCCUCUCCCUUUAUUUGCCUAAAAGUAGGACACAGGCUUAUAAGGACAAAAGGAAUCCUGCCCUGCCUUCUUCUCCUAUGGGAGAACAAAGGUUAACCACGGAAGACAACCUUGGGCACUGAUGACCCUGGAGAUGAUACCAGAGGCAUCUCCACGAGCAAGCUUCCCUAACUCGCCUUUAUUUACCAUUAUGUGUCUUCCUGCAAGCUGCUGCCCUGGAGAACCCAAGUCCUUUUCUUUGUCUUGUUACUUCCUUAAAAAUGUACUGUUCUUUGUUAAAAAUGCUAUACAAGCCAGAAUUCAAAGCCAUCCCUUUGAGGACUACUCAUUCCCUUGGCGUCUUUCAUGUACCUAUGAAAUAUACACAUUAAUAAACUUCCAUUUGUUUUUCUCUCAUUAAUCUGUCUUUUGCUACAAGAGUCCAUUCCAACUCUGAACUUAUGAGUGUUAAUUAUCUUUAUUCCCCCAGAGUUCAUAUGCGUGUGCGUUCGUAUGAAU
rnacentral:lncRNA from 1 species